CCAACCAGUGACCAACUAUUUUAGCCAAAUAUUUGGGGGAGUUACACUCUCCCCCCCCCCCCCACACACACACACCAGUAGCGACAUCCCUGAUGAAAAAUAUUGUUGGCACGGUUUUACACAUGACAUUUAUUAAAAUUACGUCCGAAAUUUUCAUUACAAUCAACCGCUGUCGUUCUAAUGUAAUGAAUUGUUAGUUAAACUUAUGAACGCAAUGAACCGUGAAUUAAAACACAACGCAAUAAAUUCCAGUCUUUGUCCAAG